CAAAAGGCAAACUUCAAGAGAAUUUCGAGGGGAAUCUAGCGGUGAUCUCGAAAACGCGAGGGGAGGCUUCGUUGAGUGGGGAAGCAUUUGGAGACCGUUCGGAGAGGAAAAGAUCCGGUACCGUGAGUUGGAGCACGCGUGAUCGGCUUUCAGGUCCGAGCACUAGUAGCCAGCGUUGAUCUAGCUUGGAGUAGACUUAUCUGGAGACGGGGGUGAGCACACGGCGUUUUGUACUAUUUCAGUCUCCAUCUGUAUAUAUAGACUUGUCUUUUUCCUUUCGAGACAGUCCAGUCUCUGUUGUCCGGUUUUAGGACUUGUACUCAUUUUGUAGUAGCUCUGUACUAGUGACUUCCAGGUUC